UACAGAGGUGGCAAGCGUUGUCCGGAAUUACUGGGCGUAAAGGGCGCGUAGGCGGCCUUCUAAGUCAGACGUGAAAUCCCCCGGCUUAACCUGGGAACUGCGUCUGAUACUGGGAGGCUUGAGUAUGGGAGAGGGAUGUAGAAUUCCAGGUGUAGCGGUGAAAUGCGUAGAUAUCUGGAGGAAUACCGGUGGCGAAGGCGGCAUCCUGGACCAUUACUGACGCUGAGGCGCGAAAGCUAGGGGAGCAAACGGG
rnacentral:rRNA from 1 species